rnacentral:tRNA from 1 species
GCAUUGGUGGUUCAGUGGGAGAAUUCUCACCUUCCAUGCGGGAGACCCAGGCUCGAUUCUUGGCCAACGCG